rnacentral:lncRNA from 1 species
AUGAAUUGCAGGGUGUUUAUUACUGUGGAAAAGAUGGGCAUCACCCCUGAAGCAGACACAGAGAAUCAGGUGACACGAAGACAAAGCCAGCUGGAUCACUGCAAGAAGUGUCCUCAGGUGACCCAGGCUCUUCCACGAGAAAACAAGAAUGUCCUCACUGCUGCAAACAACAGAAGGCUGCAAAAUGCACAAGAUCCCAGGAGCACACAGUUCCAGCGGCUUCUGAGAACAUGCACAAAGCCAACUCUGGGGAUUCCAAGUUGACAUCUGGUUUUUUUCCUGGUACCAGGAAUCGAACUCACGACCUCACGCUUGCCAGGCAGGCGCUGUGCCACUGAGCUAAAUCCCCAGCCCCCCCCAAGUUGACAUCUGUGACCUUUUCUUCUUUGUGUUUGCAUUUUUUAAAAGAAGUGUCACUAUUUUCAUUAAACAAGUGUCUUGCCUGUUGCACUUCAUGAAGUUUCAUUGUUGUAUGAGCAAAAGAACAGCACCCCCAAGAUCGUGGACAUGGAAUUCUUAUCGAGUCACUGAGAAAUGAAAGGGUGAAUCAGGGAGAAGUGGCAGGAAGGCAGCUGUCACAAAUGCCAGUGACAGCAUCACAACAUGGUUACGGGGUGAGCCAAGCUGGGGCUCUGGCGUGCUCCACUGCAGACGUCAGAUUUGUGUCAGGCAACUUGAAGCAGUGUGAUAGUAUUUCUCUUGUGUCUGUCUCCUGAUUUUUAUUAGCUCUACGGACUGUGUCUGUGGAAGGAGAGAGAGACCCUGGGGUGGCACGGUUUUUGUCCCACUAAAUGUGCUCAGACUUCAGUAGCAGCAGCAACAAUCCCGAUUUCAAACCCUGCCUAUAGCUCCUCUCAUACUCUCACUGAAGAUAAUAAAUCUAUCUCAGAAGGUUGUUAUGAGAAGAAUACAAAGAACUGUAUUCAAAGUACUUGGGGUUUGCUUUUUUCUCCCCUCUUCUUUUUUUUUUUUUUUUCCUUUUUGGCAAAGAAAGUGAUUAAGGUAAUAGGUUUUAAAAAAUAAAAUCAUUUUUGGUACCAUUUAAA